rnacentral:lncRNA from 1 species
UUUCUUCGAUCUCUCUUACUUUAAUAUACCAUGAUUUUCUUUAACCAUUUACCCAUGAAUCCUACAAAAGCCCUGCCCCGUUUUAAAUGUUUUAACCCUUGACUACUGAUGCCCUGUCCGACUGACGUAGGGCCCCGUAACGUAUGUGAAGGCUCUGCCUAAAUUCGUUGGGGUUCUGUCUCGUGACGUAGGGAUAAAGUAGAAUUGGGUCACUAUACUUAAUAUGAGUGCACUAUAUAUUUUAUUAAAUAAUUCAGGAGUUGUACCCAAAAUAUAACAACUCUCCCGAAUAUUUUUCUGACACCCCUACACUUCCUAAAAUACACCAUGUAUGUAAAAACCGAGCCCGAAAUACAAUAUAGCAUUCAGAAUAAAUUAAAAACAAGAAAAAGUAAGUUGAGGCGGGCCGCGUAAGAUACCCAUAACCCUUACGCGGGCCGCGACAGUCCCAAAAUGUGGCGCAGCCCCGGGCCGCCACCUGGCCCAACACCCGGCAAGCCUACAUAGUGACCCAGCUAAGCUACGCAUUGACCGGAGGUCAACGCGGGCCGCAUAGGCCCUGUGCUCAUGUUACACGGGCCGCGAGAAAGACAGAAUCUGCAACUAUAAAUAGAACGCGUCGGAUCUUCAGUCUGUUCGUCUCAUUUUCAUUUUUCAAUCUUAAUUUCUGAGUAGUAGAAGAAAUACUCGGGUAUUAUACCCCCCUAAUUAGCGAAGCUCUGUCUCGUUAUUAUAACCAGGGAAUCACAAAGGAAAGCCCUAUAAUAGCAAUGUGAGUUGAUCCACUUUUUGUAAAUAUUUUUGUUAACUGUUUUUACAAAACCUUAAAUAUCUUUCCAUGCGAACAACGGUUAUUGAGUAUUUGUAAGAAUACAAUUACAGUCGGUAAAUUUGGGGUUUUGUAUACAAAAUUUGUUGCCACAUGGUAAAGGAGUAACAUGACCAUAAGUCGGAACGACAUUACCGUGUGGUGGUAAUUGAUAUAACUUGGAAACAAAUGUAAUUGUUUAUUCAAUUAGAUUAUAACCAGGGAAUCACAAAGGAAAGCCCUAUAAUAGCAAUGUGAGUUGAUCCACUUUUUGUAAAUCUUUUUGUUAACUGUUUUUACAAAACCUUAAAUAUCUUUCCAUGCGAACAACGGUUAUUGAGUAUUUGUAAGAAUACAAUUACAGUCGGUAAAUUUGGGGUUUUGUAUACAAAAUUUGUUGCCACAUGGUAAAGGAGUAACAUGACCAUAAGUCGGAACGACAUUACCGUGUGGUGGUAAUUGAUAUAACUUGGAAACAAAUGUAAUUGCGGAUGCGCCCUCAAUACUGUUCACUGUGACUUUUUAUUUAAACUUGAUUAAACUGGGAUUCACUCACCAGUAUUUCCUGCUGAUAAAAUGUUUUAAACACGUGUUUUAGGUAACUUAGUGUGAAGCCAAUAAAAGCCAGCUGUAGAGCACUGAAGGCUUGGAAAAGUGGCAAUAAAGUUACCUAAAAUAAAAUAGAUGUUUUUAUUAAAUAAAAUAGAAUUUAUUCCUAUAAAAAUGUGUGUACUACAAACUUGGGUUUUACCCAUGUGUUUAAUAUUAUGAAAAUAUGGUGGUUUACUCUGAUAAAAUAUUUCCUAACUACGGUCCUGAUGAAAAAAUUCCGCUGCCAAAUUGAUAAACACCGAUAACACCGAAACUGGCUCACGGCUCCCGCUCCCAGGGUGGGGUCGGGUGUUGUGACAGAAGGUGGUAUCAGAGCUAUGCCACUGGUUCAAGCCAAAGAAGUGUUCUGCUGACACUUAAAUUUUAAAUUCUGUGUUAGGAAAUUAAUAUAACAAUUUAUGUGUUAUUCUAUGUAGAUAAAUCUUAAUAUUUAUAUUAUGAUUUUUAUAUUUUGAGUUCAGAGUAUGAGUAACCUAUAUGACUAGACAUACCCAUAGGCUACCUAGGCAGAUGUAUUAUACUACACUCUUAUACAAUUAGUAACUGAAGGUACCACCUCGAGUUAGAUCUCUUCUUAAAUAAAUGAAUGUACCGUAAUAUAUAUAUAUAGGGAGCCGCUAGAAUGAAAACCACCUCGAGUUGUAAUUUUUUACACCAUAAGUUUGGUGAAAAAAAAAGAAAAAAGAAAAAAAAUUAA